AUGAAUUAUGAGUUUAAUAGAUCCUCUUUAGCAGAAAGACAUAUAUUGCUUGCUCAUUAUUAGACAAUCACUUAUUCCCAAACCUCGUGUGGGACUAAUCGUUUUCAUUUACCAUCUCAUGGAAAACCCUUUUCGUUCCGCUUAGCCCUAUUGGGUAUUUUAGUGUUAGGUUCUGUAUGAACUGGAUGAUCCUAUUUGGUCAAAUACCUAACAAAAAAUUAUGAUUUUCCUUUCAUUAAGGUGUGAGGGCUUCUUAUUCCACAAGAGCGAAAGCACCUUUUCAUUCUUUCAUAUACUGGUUUUUACUUGGAAAAGACAAUGUUCCAUACUAAAGGAUUCGGGUCCAUAACCACGAGUUCCAGUGCACUAGAUCUUGUAGCACUUAGCAAUGAAUCCCUAUCCAUUAGUAUUCCACAUAAGAAAUCCAUUCUAGAAAAAAAUACAAUUAGAUUAGCUCUUCAUAGACAAACUUGGGGUUUACGAGCCAAGGUAAGAUCGGCUCGGGAUCAUGGGACCCUUUUCUAUCAGAUAGGAGGGGCUCUUGUACAAAAUAGAUUACUAAGUAAUAACCCCAUAGAAUCUAUCUGUAUAAAGAUAAAGAGGCAAUCGUGUCAGGAAGCGGGUUUUUAUUUGGGCAAAAGGUACUUCGAACUUGGAACGAGCAUGAAGAGAUUAAAGAGACUUCUUUCUCUUUUGAGUUUUUCCCCUGGAACCAAUGAAAAAAAGUGGAUCACUUCUUAUGUACUCGCAAGAUCUUUGGUCUUCCCCUGGAACCGCGCAAGAUCUCUGGUCUUCCCCUGGAACCGAUGA
rnacentral:rRNA from 1 species